rnacentral:tRNA from 1 species
GGAGAGGUGGCAGAGCGGUUGAAUGCACUGGUCUUGAAAACCAGCAAGGGUGAAUAACCCUUCGUGGGUUCGAAUCCCACCCUCUCCGCCA